rnacentral:lncRNA from 1 species
AAUUAAACUACAAGCAAGUCAUUAUCUACUUUUUUUUUUUUUUUCUUUUAAGGUAUGCAGUGCCAAAUGAUUAACCUCCUUGGUAGAAGGACAGUAAAAACAUGGGGGAUUUGUUGUUCUGACUCCUUUGUCCAUGCUCUGUGUUGUAUAAAGGCUAUGGCUCCUGGAGAAGUAGGCUUGCUAUUUCUAAUACAAAAUGUUAAUUGCUAGACAUGUUUUACAAUAAAUAUUUCUGCUUUGAUCGCAGUAUUAAGAAAAAUAUGCAUGCAUUUUACAUCUAUUCUUCACUUGCUGUCACAGUAAAUCACACCUUCUGUCAUCUACAUGUAUACAAUGCUGUUUAUUUACUGCAGGAAUUACCUUUUAAAUUACUGGAAACAAAGACCUGGAAAAAAUUCAUAUCUUAAGUCUUCAGGAUCAGUUUUGAGUCACACUGAGACUUAUCAGAUAGUUUUGUGCUAACUUGAGUUUUAUGCAUGUUCAAUUUUUAAUUCCAUUUUGUUCCUUCUCUUUGUGACUUACAGAGCCAAGAGUUUAGAAAUUGAAAGGUAAUGUUUUUGUAUGAUGAUUUGUCAGUCUGUCACAAGUAUUACCUCUUGAAUGCUUCUGCCUUUGAAAACAGACUCAAAGCCUUUCAGGAUGGUAAAAAUUCAACACAACACUUGAGAGUUAGGGUCCUGGAAUUGGUGUUUAAAAGUGGCUUGCAAACUUGUUUCUGCAAAACAACUGCUACAGAAUGGAUGAAAUAAAAUAAACUUUAUCCACGUGCUUUCAGGGAGCAGGUAAGUAUUGUGUUUUAAAUAAUCAUUCAAGAAAGGAGGUUUGAUGUUCUGUUUUGUUGGUUUGGUUUUA